rnacentral:Y_RNA from 1 species
GGCUGGUUCGAAGGUAGUGAGUUAUCUCAAUUGAUUGUUCACAGUCAGCUGCAGAUCAAACUCCUUGCUCUAUUCCUUCUGCCCUUCUCACUAUAGCUCUUUAGUCUAAA